AUUGAAGUCUUGAAGCCAGCUGGGAAGGGCUGCUAGCUUUUCAAUUAUCAUUUAUGAAUUCAUCAGAAUGAAAUAUUGACUACUAAUUAAAGGCAGAAAAUUACUCCUGGAAUAAAUUGAUAAAGGAAGAGAAAAAAACAAGAUGUGAACCCUUUGUCACACCCUCUCUGCUGGUUUUAAUGUGCAAACUUUUGUCCUGACAAGGUGGUAAAAUGUCUGCGUGUGAAGAUGUUUGAGCAAGAAGAUUUCUGACAGCCAUGGUUGUCUGAGCUGAGGAUGAAGCAGAGCUUACUGGGUACAGAAGAAUCUUCUGGCCCUGUGGCUUUCAAGCCUGGCUGCACAUUAGAUCUCCUGGAGUACUUUCAGAAAAAUAGCCACUGGUAUGACAUGUGUAGUGGCGUUCUUAAAAAGCUCUCCAGGAUUCUCCCUCUUGCCUUCCUGAAGAAUUCAGAGUUCUACUUUCCCAUCUUGCAGACGGUCCUCUAAUAAAGGCAAUUCUCUUUUGAAUCUGAUUCCUGUGGUAGUAAUGGCAGAGUUUCUCACUGAACCAGAAGCUGAUAGUUGCAGCUAGGUCUACUGGCCAAUGAGUGCCUGAGAUCCUCUGGUCUCCGCCCCUCAACGCUGGAGUUCCGGGAAUGCAUGCCGAGGUUAUACAGAUGUUUCUCAUUCAUUUAUGUCAUGUGUUCUUACCCCUGGAGCCACCGUCCCAGCCUCUGGCAACUUAUUCCUGCUUGCUUGAAGCUGCAGGAGGUUUCUUUUCAUUGAGGCUGCCGAGUUUGUUUAACACUUCGGAUGAAGGAACGGUGAAGAACUUGAGGCGUGUGUUUCUCCAUGCAUUCAAAGACUAGCCAGGCUUGCUUUGUUUUGCUUUGAGACAGAGCUGUAGGUAACCCAGGCUGGCCUGAGACUUGGGCUUCUCCUUCUCCUCCUGUCUCCACCUCCUGCUGGGAUUACAGGCAUGAACAGCUAUGGCUGCAGUGCGUGGUUCUGGGGAUUGAGUCUAAGCCUUUGUGCACCUUAGGUGUGGCCUUCUUGGAGGGAGUGUGUCACUGUGGAGGUGGUCUUUGAGAUCUCUAUGCUCAGGCUCUAGCUAGUUUGGAAAGAUAGUCUUCUGUCUACCUUUGGAUCAAGAUGUAGAAAUCUCAGCAACUUCUCCAGCACCAUGUCUGCCUGGAUGCUGCCAUGUUUCCCACCGUGAUGAUGUUGGACUGAAACUAAAGAAGAACCACAUGAGAUGAGAGAACCAUUACUGACCAAAUCCUUGCUGUAGUAGGCGCCUAAGAGUACUGCUUGAUUUCUUGCCCUGGUUUUUACUGUUUGACUAGAAGUAAGUAGGUAGUGUGCAUUGAUUAGCAAAAAUGCUGUUUAUUCUAAAAGAAAAGGGAGGAAAAUUAUAUGCAUAAAAACAAUUACACUGAGAUAGAAAAGUAGAAUCGGUGCUCGAUUGCAUGCCGCUAUGAAGACUAAAGUAACUAAAAUUGAAAUGUUUUCAUUGUGAACUUUUAUGUUUAACAAGCCCAGACAUUCAGAACCCUGUAAGUGAUAUUAAAGCCUUUUAUGAAGGGAUUACGUUUUGUAUGAUGAGUGUUUUAAUAUAAGUAUGGUACACUGCAUAAAAUAUAACUACAU
rnacentral:lncRNA from 1 species